AUUGAACGCUGGCGGCAGGCUUAACACAUGCAAGUCGAACGAUGAUUAUCUAGCUUGCUAGAUAUGAUUAGUGGCGGACGGGUGAGUAACAUUAGGAAUCUGCCUAGUAGUGGGGGAUAGCUCGGGGAAACUCGAAUUAAUACCGCAUACGACCUACGGGUGAAAGGGGGCGCAAGCUCUUGCUAUUAGAUGAGCCUAAAUCAGAUUAGCUAGUUGGUGGGGUAAAGGCCCACCAAGGCGACGAUCUGUAACUGGUCUGAGAGGAUGAUCAGUCACACCGGAACUGAGACACGGUCCGGACUCCUACGGGAGGCAGCAGUGGGGAAUAUUGGACAAUGGGGGCAACCCUGAUCCAGCCAUGCCGCGUGUGUGAAGAAGGCCUUUUGGUUGUAAAGCACUUUAAGCAGGGAGGAGAGGCUAAUGGUUAAUACCCAUUAGAUUAGACGUUACCUGCAGAAUAAGCACCGGCUAACUCUGUGCCAGCCGCCGCAGUAAAAC
rnacentral:rRNA from 1 species